GCACGCAUAGCUCAGCUGGAUAGAGCGCUGCCCUCCGGAGGCAGAGGUCUCAGGUUCGAAUCCUGAUGUGUGCG
rnacentral:tRNA from 1 species